rnacentral:rRNA from 1 species
GACGAACGCUAGCGGCGCGCCUAAGGUAUGCAAGUCGAACGGACCCGCAAGGGUCAGUGGCGAACGGUCGAGUAACACGUAGACAACCUGCCUUCGCAGUGGGGGAGUAACAGCCCGAAACGGGACGUGCUAAUACCGCAUGUGGCCGUGGGGAGUGAUGUCCCUAGUGCUAAAGGAAGCAAUUCGCUGGGAGAUGGGUCUGCGGCCUAUCAGGUAGUUGGUGGGGUAACGGCCUACCAAGCCGACGACGGGUAGCUGGUCUGAGAGGAUGAUCAGCCGGACGGGGACGUGAGACA